UCGUCGUGGGCAGCCCUGCGAGGACCCCGGGCCAGUGGAGCGGGCCGCCUAGUUGGGGCUACCCUGACGCGUGCGAUGAAGCCACGACCCGCGAGGUUCGUGGACAACAGGCUGAAGCAGCGAGUCGUGCAGUACCUCACCAGUAACAAAUGUGGCAAAUAUGUGGACAUUGGAGUCUUAGCAUCUGAUUUACAAAGAAUGUACAGUAUAGACUACGGUCGAAGAAAAAGAAAUGCUUUUAGGAUUCAGGUAGAAAAAGUAUUUAAUAUAAUUACUAGUGAGAAAGAACUUAAGGAUCUAACAGAAUUGGAAGAUGAACAUCUGGCAAAAAGAGCAAGACAAGACGAAGACGAUAAUGAGUAUACUGAAAGCUAUUCAGAUGAUGAUUCAAAUAUGGAAGACUACCCAGAUCCACAGGCAGCAAAUCACAUGAACAGCUCCCUACUCUCCUUAUAUCGGAAAGGACAUUCUGAUUCUGUUUCAAGUACUCCUGAGAUGGAGCCCAGAGAAACCACUGGUUCGACCCCAUGGACACCUUCGGGAACAGGCUCCAUCCCGUUAAAGACCCCGGCCAGAGGUUCUGAGGGAGGGUGGUUUAUCGACAGAACUGGUGGAAAGAUGGACCUGACAGAUGAGAAGAGUAAUCACAAGAAGCCAGGAUCUGAGAUAGAGGAUUCCAAGGAUGCUUCUCUUCUGGAGAGUAGUGAAAAAAGGAAAAGUAGGCUGAAGAGGAAAGGAAGCAAAAGGAAGAAAGACCUUCAGGAAGCAGAUGGAGAAAUCGAAGCUGUCCUGAAGCGGAAAGCUAAAGCCAAGGAGCUAGAGUUACAGGUCUCCAAGGUGAAGUUUGAAGACGUCGGAGGCAAUGAUACGACAUUAAAGGAAGUCUGCAAGAUGCUUAUCCACAUGCGUCACCCUGAGGUGUACUGCCACCUGGGCGCCACCCCGCCUCGCGGAGUCCUGCUGCACGGGCCACCGGGCUGCGGGAAGACCUUGCUGGCACACGCCAUUGCUGGGGAACUGGACCUCCCAAUUCUGAAGGUAGCUGCCACAGAGAUUGUGUCCGGAGUGUCUGGGGAGUCAGAGCAGAAGCUGAGGGAGCUGUUUGAGCAGGCCGUGUCAAAUGCACCCUGUGUCCUUUUUAUUGAUGAAAUUGAUGCUAUUACCCCCAAGAGGGAAGUUGCUUCAAAAGACAUGGAACGAAGAAUUGUAGCCCAGCUCCUCACCUGCAUGGAUGAUCUGAACACCAUGGCCACGACGGCCCGGGUCCUCGUCAUUGGAGCCACCAACCGACCAGAUGCUUUAGACCCUGCUUUGAGACGUGCAGGAAGGUUCGACCGAGAGAUAUGCCUAGGGAUCCCAGAUGAAGCCUCCAGGGAAAGAAUACUUCGAACUUUGUGCAGAAAACUUAGACUUCCGGAAAGUUUCCCUUUUUGUCAUUUAGCACACCUGACACCAGGCUUCGUUGGUGCUGACCUGAUGGCACUCUGCCGAGAAGCGGCCAUGGGCGCGGUCAGCAGGGUCCUGAUGGCAUGGCAGGAACAGCAGACCAUGGAUCCCAAGACUGCAGUUUCGCCCCCUGGACGAGGCCGGGAAUACCCAAUGGGAGCCGAGCCCACUCCUGAACCACCGGCGUGUUCUGUGCAGGAUGAGUUGAAGUGGCUUCUGGAGCUGCUAAGAAGCCAAGACCCCCUGUCCGAGGAGCAGCUGCAGGGACUGUGCAUCGAGUGGGAUGAUUUCACUGCUGCGCUCGCCUCAGUCCAGCCCUCUGCCAAAAGGGAAGGCUUUGUCACCGUCCCCAAUGUGACUUGGGCAGAUAUUGGUGCCCUGGAAGAUAUCCGGGAGGAGCUCACCAUGGCAAUACUGGCACCGGUGCGCAACCCUGAUCAGUUCCGAGCUCUUGGAUUGGAGACUCCCGCUGGGGUCCUCCUGGCUGGCCCCCCCGGCUGUGGGAAAACGCUGCUGGCAAAGGCUGUUGCAAAUGAGUCCGGACUGAACUUUAUAUCGGUCAAGGGACCUGAAUUGCUCAACAUGUACGUCGGUGAGAGUGAGCGUGCCGUCCGCCAGGUGUUCCAGCGAGCCAGGAGCUCCGCACCCUGCGUCAUCUUCUUUGAUGAAGUAGACGCCCUGUGCCCUCGGAGGUCAGACCGGGAGACGGGAGCAAGUGUCCGGGUGGUGAAUCAGCUACUUACCGAGAUGGACGGUCUGGAAGCUCGGCAGCAGGUUUUCAUUCUGGCAGCCACCAACAGGCCAGACAUCAUUGACCCUGCGAUCCUGCGCCCUGGACGCCUGGACAAAACACUGUUUGUGGGUUUGCCACCUCCUGCAGACCGUCUGGCCAUCCUAAAAACCAUUACAAAAAAUGGCACCAGACCGCCCCUGGGUGCAGACGUGAGUUUGGAAGCCCUCGCUGCUGACCUGCGCUGUGAUUGCUACUCGGGUGCAGAUCUCUCUGCUUUGGUUCGGGAAGCGUCCAUCUGCGCCCUGAGACAGGAAAUGACAAGACCGAAGGGUGGAGGUGAGACAGGUGAACUCAAGGUCAGUCAGAAGCACUUUGAAGAAGCUUUCAAGAAAGUGAAAUCUUCUAUAUCAAAAAAGACCGGAGGUGAACAUUAAGUACAGUCCAGGAAAUGGGUUUCCCUAGUGAAUGGGAAACGCCCUCUAGUCAGGGUCUGACUUCUCGCAGAGAGAACAAACAGAAGAGUUUGCCUUUCUCUGCCUGACCCAGGAUUGUGGCCAGGAUAAAAACUAGUGGCCGUAAAGUCCCCUCUGAACACCGGACAGACCUCAUACGUGUGGGACAGACCUCAUCGUGGCCGCUUGUGGGAGUGUCUCAGUGUCCGCCAGACGUCGGGAACGCGGCUGUGCCUCUAGCACGGGGCCCUGGGCUGGUCGGCACAUGCCAUGCUAAGGCCAUUUGUUGCUGUUCGAAAUCAUGACCAGGUGAUGUAUGAAGCUCUGCAGCGGUCCCUCAGCCGGUGACCCCGGCGGCAGCGGGCCCUGGAGCAGGUCAGUGUGUCCAGCCGGCCAAGCUGCCGCUUGCCACCUGAUGCAGAGGGCGUCCCUUGUGAGCGCGUUACUCCCGGAGUGAUGUGGCCUGUUGGAGCCGAAGACUCUUUCCGUCUGGCUAGCUGGGCGCGGGAACACCCUCCCUUCUCUUUAACAACAAGAAAGAUGUUUAACUGUUAAACUAAACUGAUGACUUUUUUUAAAUAAAAUUUUGAAAACAG